rnacentral:lncRNA from 1 species
CUCGGAUGGAUCUAACGUUGACCACAUCGAAUAACAUCUGAUUAUUCAAACAUUCUCACCAAUUGAACUAAUUGGAUUGACUCACUAAAACCUUUUGGAAUUCAAAACUCUACGUCCCGACACAAACUCAGCCAUCAAUUAAAACUGCUCGAAUUAAGAUUUGUAAUUACUAAUUAACAAAGUUAUUCAAAGGUAACUAAACAACCUUAAGACUGCUUUCUUUAAAUUCUACCAAGGUUAAAAUUUAGCCAACAUCACACACUCCAAAAAACAACACUCC